rnacentral:rRNA from 1 species
CAAGCGUUGUCCGGAUUUAUUGGUUUAAAGGGUGCGUAGGUGGCUAUUUAAGUCAGUGGUGAAAGUCUGCAGCUUAACUGUAGAAUUGCCAUUGAUACUGAAUAGCUUGAGUACUGAUGAGGUAGGCGGAAUUGAUAGUGUAGCGGUGAAAUGCAUAGAUAUUAUCAAGAACCCCGAUUGCGAAGGCAGCUUACUAAGGAGUUACUGACACUGAGGCACGAAAGCGUGGGGAUC